rnacentral:rRNA from 1 species
AGUGAACGCUGGCGGUAGGCCUAACACAUGCAAGUCGAACGGCAGCACAGUAAGAGCUUGCCCUCACGGGUGGCGAGUGGCGGACGGGUGAGGAAUACAUCGGAAUCUACUUUUUCGUGGGGGAUAAUGUAGGGAAACUUACGCUAAUACCGCAUACCACCUACGGGUGAAAGCAGGGGAUCUUCGGACCUUGCGCGAUUGCAUGAGCCGUGGUCGGAUUAGCUAGUUGGCGGGGUAAAGGCCCACCAAGGCAACGAUCCGUAGCUGGUCUGAGAGGAUGAUCGGCCACACUGGAACUGGGACACGGUCCAGACUCCUACGGGAGGCGGCAGUGGGGAAUAUUGGCCAAUGGGCGCAAGCCUGAUGCAGCCAUACCGCGUGGGUGAGGAAGGCCUUCGGGUUGUAAAGCCCUUUUGUUGGGAAAGAAAAGCAGCAGGUUAAAACCCCGCUGUUCUGACGGUACCCAAAGAGUAAGCACCGGCUAACUUCGUG